GGCCGGGUCCCAUGCAAUGGAGCCGCGGGAAAACGGGUCAGGACCGAGAGGUAGCAGCCCAGCCUGCAUGUUCCAGGUGCCGUGGCCAACCUGGCCCUC
rnacentral:SRP_RNA from 1 species